AGGUAGUAAAAUUAUCCAAACCUAUAUAAACUGGCGGCAUAUAUUCAUAUUAGAGGAAUCUGUUUUUUAAUCGAUAAUCCACGAUAAUAUUCACUUAUUUUACAAGUUUGUAUACCGCCGUUUUAAGAAUUUUUUCCAAUAAUAUUUUCCUAAAAAUAUUCUAAAAAAUUAGGUCAAGGUGCAUCUUAUAAAUAAGAUAAAAUGGAUUACAAUAAAUAUUAUUUAAGGACUUUAAAUUUACAUUUAUUCAAAAAAGGAUUUAAUAGUAAUCUUUUAAUAUUAUUUUAAUUUAAAUUCGUAAAAAUAUGUGC
rnacentral:rRNA from 1 species